UACGUAGGGUGCGAGCGUUAAUCGGAAUUACUGGGCGUAAAGCGUGCGCAGGCGGUUUGCUAAGACCGAUGUGAAAUCCCCGGGCUUAACCUGGGAACUGCAUUGGUGACUGGCAGGCUAGAGUAUGGCGGAGGGGGGUAGAAUUCCACGUGUAGCAGUGAAAUGCGUAGAGAUGUGGAGGAAUACCGAUGGCGAAGGCAGCCCCCUGGGCCAAUACUGACGCUCAUGCACGAAAGCGUGGGAGCAAACAGG
rnacentral:rRNA from 1 species